GAUGAACGCUGGCGGCGUGCCUAAUACAUGCCAGUCGAGCGAACAGACGAGGAGCUUGCUCCUCUGACGUUAGCGGCGGACGGGUGAGUAACACGUGGAUAACCUACCUAUAAGACUGGGAUAACUUCGGGAAACCGGAGCUAAUACCGGAUAAUAUAUUGAACCGCAUGGUUCAAUAGUGGAAGACGGUUUUGCUGUCACUUAUAGAUGGAUCCGCGCCGCAUUAGCUAGUUAGUAAGGUAACGGCUUACCAAGGCGACGAUGCGUAGCCGACCUGAGAGGGUGAUCGGCCACACUGGAACUGAGACACGGUCCAGACUCCUACGGGAGGCAGCAGUAGGGAAUCUUCCGCAAUGGGCGAAAGCCUGACGGAGCAACGCCGCGUGAGUGAUGAAGGUCUUCGGAUCGUAAAACUCUGUUAUUAGGGAAGAACAAAUGUGUAAGUAACUAUGCACGUCUUGACGGUACCUAAUCAGAAAGCCACGGCUAACUACGUG
rnacentral:rRNA from 1 species